GGACGAACGCUGGCGGCGUGCUUAACACAUGCAAGUCGAACGGAAAGGCCCUGCUUUUGUGGGGUGCUCGAGUGGCGAACGGGUGAGUAACACGUGAGUAACCUGCCCUUGACUUUGGGAUAACUUCAGGAAACUGGGGCUAAUACCGGAUAGGAGCUCCUGCUGCAUGGUGGGGGUUGGAAAGUUUCGGCGGUUGGGGAUGGACUCGCGGCUUAUCAGCUUGUUGGUGGGGUAGUGGCUUACCAAGGCUUUGACGGGUAGCCGGCCUGAGAGGGUGACCGGCCACAUUGGGACUGGGAUACGGCCCAGACUCCUACGGGAGGCAGCAGUGGAGAAGAGUGCACAAUGGGCGGAAGCCUGAUGCAGCAACGCCGCGUGCGGGAUGACGGCCUUCGGGUUGUAAACCGCUUUCGCCUGUGACGAAGCGUGAGUGACGGUAAUGGGUAAAGAAGCACCGGCUAACUACGUG
rnacentral:rRNA from 1 species